AGAUGAGCAUCUUCUUCGAAGAAGAAGGAGAUGAGCACUUGAGAUCUGAUCUCAAGGCCUUAGAAUAGCCUACACACCAUCACAAAGGGAGGGAGGAUGCCAAGAACAUCUUCUUCGAAGAAGAAGGAGAUGAGCACUUGAGAUCUGAUCUCAAGGCCUUAGAAUAGCCUACACACCAUCACAAAGGGAGGGAGGAUGCCAAGAACAAUAGAGACGCCCAG
rnacentral:lncRNA from 1 species